ACUUAGAAAAUUUAUUUUGCUAAGGUUAAGGACACACCCAUGACACAGCCUCAGGAGGUCCUGACAACAUGUGCCCAAGUGGCCUGGGCACAGCAUGGUUUUAUACAUUUUAGGGAGACAAAAUACAUCAAUCAAUACAUGUAAGAUUUACAUUGGUUGGAUCUGGAAGGACAAGACAACUCGAAGUGGGAAACUUCCAGGUCAUUGGUAGAUUUAAACAUAUUCUGAUUGGCAAUUGGUUGAAAGAAUUAUUAUCAGUAGAAAGGGAUAUCUCGGUUAAGAUAAGGGGUUAUGGAGACCAAGGUUUUACCAUGCAGAUAAAGCCUCCAGGUAGCAGGUUUCAGAGAAAAUAGAUCGUAAAUGUUUCUUAUCAGACUUAAGGUUUUUGUUGAUGUUAAUGCUGGAGGGUAUAAUGAGGCAUGUCCAACCUCCACUUCCCAUCAUGGCCUGAACCACUCUUUCAGGUUAAAUUUGAGUGCCCUGGACAAGCAGGGAGUCUAUUCAGAUGGUUGCUGGUGGCCUUCAAAUUUUAUUUUAUAUAUAUAUAUUUUUUGAGACGGAGUCUCCCUCUGUUGCCCAGGCUGGAGUGCAGCGGCAAGAUCUUGGCUCACUGCAACCUCUGCCUCCGGAGUUCGAACAAUUCUUCUCCCUCAGCCUCCCGAGUAGCUGGGUUUACAGGCGCGUGCCACCACGCCCGGCUAAUUUUUGUAUUUUUAGUAGACAUGGGGUUUCACCAUGUUGGCCAGGCUGGUCUCAUACUCCUGACCUCAGGUGAUCCACCCACCUCGGCCUCCCAGAGUGGCAAAGUGCUGAGAUUACAGGCGUGAGCCACUGAGCCCGGCCUCUCCUUCUUUUUAAGACUGGGUUUCCAACAGCUUCUCAGGCCUUAAGGAUCCUGACAGGGCCGGACUGCACCACACUCCCUCGUGUUACAAAUGAGAAACUGGGGCACAGAGCAGAGGCGUUUUUCCUGAGAUCACACAGCCAAUCAGGGCGAGAACUGAGAAUCGAACCUUGAUCUCUCCACUCCAUGGUUGUGAUUCCGAGUAACUCAUGUUAUUUUAAAUCCACACUUGUCUUAAGAACGUUCGGACGGGCGAACCAUUGAGAGUUCCCGAGGGGCGAAUACUCAGCUCUCAAUAGGUUCCUGCGGGGAAAACCUGGCUGCGCCGGCGCGCGCGGGUGCUUUAAGGCAAUCUGGUCACAGCAACCCACGUGUCCUCCGCUUCCGGGAUCCUUAAGGCCGUCGCUUCGGGUGGUAAAACCCGGCCCGCCCUCACGUCAUGUUGGGAAGUGUAGCUCCACCUUCCUCCAGACAUAGGGGCGUGGGCGGCUUGGAACUGCAUUUCCCAUCAGGCUGCGCUCGCCAUUAGAGUAGCCGGACGACGGGCUGGUGGGGUGAACCCCUCAUCCUGGGUCUUUUAAUUUCUCAGGCGGAACGAGUGGCGGCGGACAGAGGCCUUUGGCUGCGCUGUCUGUGGGUUGUCUGGGCUUGGGGAACUGGGCACGGAGACCGUGGCGUCGGCUGCCGGUCAUACAGCUCUGCUUCCAGUCGUCGGGCAAAAAGCUGAGGCGCUUCUCCUUUAAUUGCGGUGGGCGGGGCGUGCCGACGCGGCCCGCGUUGCUAUUGGUGGCCGUUGGGGGCGCGGAAACUGAACCGGCCGCAACGGCUACCGCAGCUGCCUUCGGCGCCGCCAUCCCCGCCAUGGCUGCGCCCUGCGCGGAGGACCCCUCGCUGGAAAGGCAUUUUAAGGGCCACCGAGAUGCAGUUACCUGUGUGGACUUCAGUAUCAACACAAAGCAGCUGGCCAGUGGCUCCAUGGACUCAUGCCUCAUGGUCUGGCACAUGAAGCCGCAGUCACGCGCCUACCGCUUCACUGGCCACAAGGAUGCCGUCACCUGUGUGAACUUCUCUCCUUCGGGACACCUGCUUGCUUCCGGCUCCCGAGACAAGACUGUCCGCAUCUGGGUACCCAAUGUCAAAGGUGAGUCAACUGCGUUUCGUGCACACACAGCCACAGUGAGGAGCGUCCACUUCUGCAGUGAUGGCCAGUCCUUCGUGACAGCCUCUGACGACAAGACAAUCAAAGUGUGGGCAACUCAUCGCCAGAAAUUCCUGUUUUCCCUGAGCCAGCAUAUCAACUGGGUCCGCUGUGCCAAGUUCUCCCCCGACGGGCGGCUCAUCGUGUCUGCCAGUGAUGACAAGACUGUUAAGCUGUGGGACAAGAGCAGCCGGGAAUGUGUCCACUCAUAUUGCGAGCAUGGCGGCUUUGUCACCUACGUGGACUUCCACCCCAGUGGGACGUGCAUUGCCGCUGCCGGCAUGGACAACACAGUGAAGGUGUGGGACGUGCGGACUCACCGGCUGCUGCAGCAUUAUCAGUUGCACAGUGCAGCAGUGAACGGGCUCUCUUUCCACCCGUCGGGAAACUACCUGAUCACGGCCUCCAGUGACUCAACCUUGAAGAUCCUGGACCUGAUGGAGGGCCGGCUGCUCUACACACUCCACGGGCAUCAGGGACCAGCCACCACUGUUGCCUUUUCAAGAACGGGGGAGUAUUUUGCUUCUGGAGGCUCUGAUGAACAAGUGAUGGUUUGGAAGAGUAACUUUGAUAUUGUUGAUCAUGGAGAAGUCAUGAAAGUGCCGAGGCCCCCAGCCACACUGGCCAGCUCCAUGGGGAAUCUGAUUUCUAGGUGAUGCUGAUGCUGCUGAUCCAGGGACUCACUUGGAGAACCACUGGUCUUUUGGAAAACAGUCUAGCCUGUUGUGACCAUGGCAUCCUGGGCAGGGGAAUUAAGGGAAGAAGAAAGUCUCUUUAUCUUCGAAGUUUCUAUGACUCGUCGUGGGUACAGCUUGGGAGAGGCAAUCAGAAAAUCAGUGUCCCUCGCAGCCCACUGUAGUCUGCUGCUUUCCAGAAGAGGAAAAGGGCAGCCAGCAGCACCAGACUCUGGCCCAUUCCAUGACAAUGCUGGCUGUGAGACAGAAGAGUUCCCUGCUCACACCCUUCCUCCAGUGGAAGAGUGUGUGUCUGCACUGCUAGGGGGUCCUCUGGAAGGAGUGGGCACAGCACUGAACAUUUCUUAAGAAAGGCCUGCUGGUAGCUUCAGAUAAGCACCUCUCACAGCCCAGCCGUUUGAAGGACUGGCCCAGUCUUCAUCCCUAUUUUAUAGAUGAGGAAGUGGAGGCCCAGAGCUGGUCAGUGACUGUGUGAGUCACCAUUCCUCACCACUACACUCUGCUGUGUCUCCUGACAGAACUGCCUUAGUCUAGGGGCCACUGUGGUAGGCUGAAGUCUCUCCUGGCAAGGCUGGUGGACUUCUGAAAUUUAAGGUUGGGAUGGGCUUCUGGGUAAGCAUUGAGAUCUGAAGCACGUUGAUUCCUGGAUGACUGGAAGAGACCCAGCCCUGAUGGCCGAAGUCUUAGAAAUGGCCAUGGAAGUGGCCAACAUGCUGAUGAUGGGUAUGUGGACACGGUGCUGCUCAUGCUCUCAAGAAUAUCCCUCUGGCUCAUGUCUCACAUUCAAGUUCUCCUGUAGCUACCACAAGGGCCAGCAUUUUUCCAAGUUCAAAUCAGCAUGCCCUUGAAAGUUUGUGAUCUAUGAGAAUAGAAUACUUACCUAAUAAAGGAAAACAUGCAGGUAGGGUCCAUGUGCUGAACCGCAUUCCCACGGAAACAAGUCCACAGAGGAACUGCAGGCUCUAAGACCAGCUCUGCCCUUGGACACCUAUGGCUCCAGCAUCCCGCCCACUGAACAUGUGCACAGCACUUCCUUGGUCCACAGAAGCCUUUGUGCAUAAGGCAAGGAGCUGACUUUGCUGAAUUUAGGGGCUGAAGGGCCUUACGCAGAAACACUAAGCCCCUCACCUCCUGGAGUCCUAUCUGAAGCAGCCCAGGGGUGCCUUUCCUGUGGAUUCUGAUUCCUGCCAGCCAUGUGCCAGCCUGGGACAUGCACACAGAAAUCUUUGUUUUUCCAGGGGAUCUGUGCCAGGGUGGGGUUGGAACACCCGUUUCCCCGCCACACACACACUUCCACCAAGUUCUGGGCCACAGCUUCUCGGGCCUGGGAAAGGCAUUUGUGAAGCCUGGCACAUCCCCAUGUUGAAGGGUGGGGAAUUAGAGUUGAGCUGACCAGGAAGAGGAGGGACUUCAGGCCCAGGCCAGGCUUCAGCAUCUCUGGACUCACCUGGAUGCCUGCUGCCAGAAGUGGACUUCCCUGUCCCUCCAGGCAGAGGCAGGAGUGUGGAGUCUGUGCAGAGCCAGCCCCAGGAGCCUGUGAGCAUGCCCCAGACACUGACUAGCACGCUG